CCCAGUACUGCUGGCAGUCACAGAGCCCUCCCCGCAGAAUGAAGGAGAUUCCAGCUGCAGGCACCAGGAGGCUGGUUCCUUGCACAACGCACUAAAACAGGUGAAUGGCAGCAGUGCAGGGCUUGAAAAAAGACACUAAGGAUGAGGUCAAACAGUGGAAAAACUCGAAUUUGCUCUUUGUUCUAGGCUGAGUGUUGCUGCAAUGAGUCUGCGUGUGUUAGAAGAGCUUUCCUCGUGCUGUGGGAGGUACUCUCAGCUGUUUCCUACCCUCCAGUGCAUGCUCAGAGAUCAGGUUGUGUCCCCUUGCACGUGCACGUGCUUCUCCCAGAACCAGAGCAAAACAAAAGCCCCUCAGCAGCGGAUCUCCGGCUGCUCAGCUCUCUGUCUGCCGAGCUGAGCACUGAACGGAGACGUUUCAAGAAGCUGGAAGAGCACGUAUUCCAACAAAAAGGACACAGUCUUAAAUGUAGACAUAUAUAGCAGACUCCUAACCCACCCUUGCAUUGCAGCCCCCUGAGCAGAGCAGCACGGUGCUGGCAGACCCCAGGCGUGCCCUGCAUGUGCCACGUCACACCGUAGCACGGUGCCCAGCCCGGCUCGAGGCCCUGCUGCUUCAGAGGGUGAUUGAGGAAAAAAACUGCCAUCUCCAGUACCAAGCUACUGUCAGGACCAUUCGAGAUCAUUCUGGGGACAAAUCCCAAAUCUGACCCUGACUGAGAAGAGCUGCAGCCUGCCAGGAUCAGUGCACCUUCCCAGCUCUCCUUACUGGCACAUUUUUGGAAGGCAGCAGAGCAGGGAGCAGCACCGACCUGCUCAGCCUUUGGGAAGCAAGAGGAGCCAAAGGCCGACCCAAGGGGUACUGCUGUGCUGAAAGGAAGCCCAUCAAAUCGCUAUCCCACACGUAAGCCUCAGUGCUGUGGGGUUGUAAUAACGGCUUUCUUGAACUAUGGCAUCUCUCAACUAGUGGAAUACACCGAAUUCAUGCAUCUCUCACAGGGGUCCACUAUUCCACUUCAGCUAGAAAGAAAGUCACCCGCAGCAGUUAUGAAAGACUCAAGAGGGAAUUAGGCUCUGAAUUCCCAUUGAAUUAACAUUGUUUACUCAGUAGUCAGAAGUAUAAUGGUUGUUAAUGACUCCUUAACGAGUCAAGUUAUAACGCAACAUGUGGCGAAGCACAAUAAACAAAAAGGCC
ensembl:lncRNA